UUUUUGGAAAGUGGCUUUUAUGGCUGGGCCACGGUAUAAUUUGCCCUGCCCAGUGAAGGCAGCUGCUGAGGAAUGCUGGGGAGGAAGAACCUGAGACAGCACCACGAUCCUGGACCUCUGGCCCAGGCUUGGCCAACCAAAACUGGCGUCAGGACUUAAGCUGGAAUGUGGAUGCCCAGGCUGGCCCUUCUCCCAGGGGCCUCCAACUUGUUUGAGUGAUGGGGGCUCCGCCGUGGAGGCUAUUUUUGUGAAAAGCUGAGAAUUCAAAAGCUCAUCUCCUCGAAAGCCUUCCUUGCCUUGGAGAAGCUGAAGAGGUACUGAAGAAGUAACAGUGAACAAACAAGACCAAAUAUCUGUCUUCAUGGACCUUACAGUCAAGUAGGGGAAGGGAAGCAAUCAACUUAAUAAAGGUUGGGCACAGUGGUUCAUGCCUGUAAUCCCAGCACUUUCAGGAGGCCAAAGUGGGAAGACUGCUUGAGGCUAGGAGUUCAAGACCAGCCUGGGCAACAAAAUGGCAGGGCGCAAGGACAGGAGCCUGGAAACCUGUACCGGGGCUGCUGCGAAGGCCCGGGGAAGAUUGAGGGUGGCUGGAACCCAAAAAUGGCAGCGGAGCUGAUGGAGAAAGGUCAGAUUCGGGAUGCAUUUUGGAGACAGCAGCAACAGGAUUUGCUCAAGGGAUUCACAUGGAGUGUGAGAGACGAAGAGUGGAGAAUGAUUCUGAGGCUUGGACCUGAGCAAUGAACAGUGAAGUCAUUUUCUAAGACAGGGAAGAGGCUGGGCCAAGUGGGUCACGCCGAUAAUCCCAGCACUUUGGGAGGCUGAGGCAGGAGGAUUGCUUGAGCUCAGGAGUUCAAGACCAGCUUGGGCAACACAGCGAGACCUCAUUUCUAAAAA